AAUCAACGCUGGCGGCGUGCCUCAGACAUGCAAGUCGAACGAGAACCUCCCUUCGGGGAGGGACGAGUGGCGCACGGGUGAGUAACACGUGGGUAAUUUACCUUUGGGUGGGGAACAACAGCCGGAAACGGCUGCUAAUACCGCAUAAUGCAGCGGCUCGACAUCGAGACAGUUGUUAAAGCGGGGAUCGCAAGACCUCGCGCCUGAAGAGAAGCCUGCGGCGGA
rnacentral:rRNA from 1 species